ensembl:lncRNA
UGCACUUUCGAUGAAAUCUUCAUCAGCGCUUAAUGAUGAUGAUGCAUUGAGUAGAAUGCUCAGUCGGGCAUCAGUCCAAACGAACGUUAAAAACAAUAUUGUGACGAAACAUGCAACCAAUGCAUUCAGCUUAUCCAAACACUUUCAGAUCAGCAGUCACUAUGGGAAGAUUUAUAGCAUGGUAGCCAGGUCGGUUUCUGCUCGAGACCCAGACCUUGCCGCCAGGCUAACCGGUGAAGGGAGCCAUGGUAGAGUAUUGGAGCGUAGCCCCUGUUACGUAACGUAGUACCAUAGUGAAAUGUAGCUGUUUUCUGUGUUCUAUUUGACCUUUCACCCCUAUUGAUCUCUCACCUCUUUCGCUUGGUCUCUGUGUGUUUGACAUGUUCCCACUACAAUUAAUAGUCAGUUUAAAAAGGAUAACUAUUUGACUGUAUAAAUAUACAUACAUAAUAUAUAGGUAUAUGAAUAUAGAUUAAUUUAACCGAUAGAUAGAUAACCAAGAGAAAACAGAUAGUCAAACGUUACUAUAGAUAAGGUUGAUCAUGAAUCAAAUUGAUAAGUGAUCUGGCCUUUUAUCCCCAACUCACCAGUCACUCCUCUAUAGUCAUUAUACACACGGACAGCUCCAGUGUUUUUGUCAAUUAUUGGAAUCCAGUGGCUUCAUCUUAGUGUGUGUUGUAUGCAUUGUCUUGACAUCAUAUCCUUCAUAUCUUCAUCAUAACCUGAUAGAUUUAGUCUCAUACCUUUAGACUGCAUUUAUUGUAUAAUGAAUGCUUUGAGUGAAUGCAGUGGGGUUGGGCUCAAUAUGGCAGUCAAUUCAGGAAGUAAACUGAAAUUCCAAUUCGAUGAUUGAAAUAGGGGCCUGUAUUUUUAAUGACUUCUUAAUGAAUUGAAAAGGAGAAGCUAUUUAUGUUUUUUAAGUAGCUGAUUUUAAAUUCAAAUCUCUUCCUGAAUUGGCAAUUCGAAUUGAGCCCAACCCUUGAAUGCAGAAGAGUAUCUAUAUGACACAUAUCUAUCUAAAGGACAUUCUAGUAUCCAACAGUAUAUAAGUAUAACUGGCAUAGCAAUGCUGUAACUUCAAUCAGUCCACACCUCUUAAACCUCACUAACACAUACUACUCAGUGCUUAUGGAAAUAUCAAUGCUUUGAGACGGACAGAUAAACAGACAGAUAAACAGACAGAUAAACAGACAGAUAAACAGACAGACAGAUAAACAGACAGACAGACAGAUAAACAGACAGAUAGACAGACAGAUAAACAGACAGAUAAACAGAUAGAUAAACAGACAGACAGAUAGACAGACAGAUAAACAGACAGACAGACAGACAGAUAAACAGACAGAUAGAUAGAUAAACAGACAGAUAAACAGACAGACAGAUAGACAGACAGAUAGACAGACAGACAGAUAAACAGACAGAUAAACAGAUAGAUAAACAGACAGACAGAUAGACAGACAGAUAAACAGACAGAUAAACAGACAGAUAGACAGACAGAUAAACAGACAGAUA